rnacentral:lncRNA from 1 species
UAUUACUUUAGCUUCUUAAAUGGUCUUUAAUGUUUUUUUCCCCCUAUGAUUUGCAUGUCAGAUUAAAAAAUUACUGGGAAGUUUAUAGGUGGGGGAAGUCAAUUGUGAAUUUAAAAUGAAUUCUUAGAAGAGACUUGUAGUGUUUAUGAGCUGUACUGUCUCUGUAGUUAUUUGUAUUUAGAUGGGUUUCAGGUAUGAAUUUUAUUAUGUGUCAGGAAUGGUAGAGCACCUUGAUAUUUCUUCAGCCUUUCUGAGUCAGCCCUCCAGUCCAGGUGUCUGGUGUUUCCUCAUUUUUGGGAGUAUAUAGUUGCCUUCAUGGAUUCAAAUUUAACAAAAAUAAUAAAGUCAGCUUUCAGACAGCAUAAGAAAUAGGAGCAGUGA